rnacentral:rRNA from 1 species
AUGAAUAUUCUUGCCUGGAACUGUCGAGGACUGGGGUUAGACUCGACAGUUGGCGAAUUACGAGACCUGAUACGGUCCUACAACCCAGUGGUGGUGUUCUUAUGCGAAACAAAGAAAAAGGCUAAGGCGAUGGAGAGGCUCAAGUGGAGUCUUGGGUUCAGAAGCGGUGUUGCUGUGGAUUGCCAGGGUUUAAGUGGUGGACUCGCACUAUGGUGGAGGGAUAAUAUC